rnacentral:rRNA from 1 species
CCGCACGCGCGCUACACUGACAAAGUCAACGAGUUUUUAAUAAUCCUUAUUUGAAAAAAUUGGGUAAUCUUGUUAAACUUUGUCGUGCUGGGGAUAGAGCAUUGCAAUUAUUGCUCUUCAACGAGGAAUUCCUAGUAAGCGCAAGUCAUCAGCUUGCGUUGAUUACGU